rnacentral:rRNA from 1 species
AUUGAACGCUGGCGGCAGGCCUAACACAUGCAAGUCGAACGGUAACAGGAAACAGCUUGCUGUUUCGCUGACGAGUGGCGGACGGGUGAGUAAUGUCUGGGAAACUGCCUGAUGGAGGGGGAUAACUACUGGAAACGGUAGCUAAUACCGCAUAACGUCGCAAGACCAAAGAGGGGGACCUUCGGGCCUCUUGCCAACGGAUGUGCCCAGAUGGGAUUAGCUAGUAGGUGGGGUAACGGCUCACCUAAGCGACGAUCCCUAGCUGGUCAGAGAGGAUGACCAGCCACACUGGAACUGAGACACGGUCCAGACUCCUACGGGAGGCAGCAGUGGGGAAUAUUGCACAAUGGGCGCAAGCCUGAUGCAGCCAUGUCGCGUGUAUGAAGAAGGCCUUCGGGUUGUAAAGUACUUUCAGCGGGGAGGAAGGGAGUAAAGUUAAUACCUUUGCUCAUUGACGUUACCCGCAGAAGAAGCACCGGCUAACUCCGUGCCAGCAGCCGCGGUAA